UAGUUGACAGGAAGCAGCAGGCAAGUCAGGCCGCCCCUUACCACGUUUAGGGGCUGAAAAUACUGACAGCCACGACCGUGAAGAAGUGCCAAAGUGAACGGUUUGUCUUGCAACAGCAUCGUUUUCAGUGGCGCCAAUUUAAUUCGGUAUGGAGUCGGCGUUCCAACACCCUGACGGAGAACACUGGAGUUGCCAUGUAACUCAGACGCCGCACAAGCAAUGCUCCAAGAUGAAAAGCCGCUUGUCGCUUAACAGCCCGUGGGAUCCCUCUGCAUCCAUCUCAACAUGAGCUCCAAAUCGUCAUGUGAUGCCAUAGGUUCUCCAGUGGACUGUUUCACCUAUUGCACGCACAAGACGGCAUUUUCUGGAGCUUCAACCUUUUGCGUCCCUCAGCAGUCUGUCGGCCCCCGGGGAAGGACUCAUGUAUCGUGUUGGCACACCAUCAACAACAUGGCCUCGGCGUUCUUCACAGAUGAAAAGCCGCUUGUCGCUUAACAGCCCGUGGGAUCCCUCUGCAUCCAUCUCAACAUGAGCUCCAAAUCGUCAUGUGAUGCCAUAGGUUCUCCAGUGGACUGUUUCACCUAUUGCACGCACAAGACGGCAUUUUCUGGAGCUUCAACCUUUUGCGUCCCUCAGCAGUCUGUCGGCCCCCGGGGAAGGACUCAUGUAAUCGUGUUGGCACACCAUCAACAACAUGGCGUCGGCGUUCUUCACAGGUAGGAAGACCUGUUCAAGUAAAUGACAUGAUACAUACACACAUGUAGCACAAUAACACAGGAUAAUUGAAUAGAUGACAAAAGAUAUGCAAUUCAUACACGAGUGCCAUGACUAAUGCUUUGGCUGUAAAGGUUGCUCUGGCUGUUACAGCACAAUGUUAGCCGGCCACAUGGAGGUCAUUAUAAUUGCCUACAUUUCUUCCCAGCUCUGACAACUACUCUCUUCUUAAUCACCACUUGUACUCUUUGUUAAAGCUUAAGGCUAAACCAACUGUAACACUUGUCUAUACGAGUGGAGCAUCUGUUGACAACCAUUGAAGUAUUUUGCAAUAAUCUAGUCAUGUUAGUACUUACAAAUAAUGUCACACUUUGUAUAAGGAAUGUUUUUGCAGUAUUUACGGGUUACAAUCGGUCCACUUGUUGUGUACUUUUUUGGACCUUUAAAAGCAUUUGUUUCUAUCUUUUUUUUUCUCUAAAAUUGUAUUUUUAGUAUUUUACACAUAAGUGCCCACUAUAUGGCGGAAUUUCCAAAGAAUAUUAGCAGUACCUAAAAAAAAUAAACACCAAAAAUUUCCCAAGUACAGUUGCAGUAAUUUUAAGUGACCACUAGAUGGCGGAAAUUCAGUUUCAGUUGCAGUAAUUUAAAGUGGCCACCAGAUGGCGGAAUUUCACAUUUUAAGUUGCAGUACUUUUAAGGGACCACCAGAUAGCGGAAAUUCCCAAGUAUAGUUGCAGUAAUUUUAAGUAACCACUAGAUGGCGGAAUUUCACAUUUUAAGUUGCACUGCUUUUAGGUGACCACUAGAUGGCGGAAUUUCACAUUUUAAGUUGCACUGCUUUUAGGUGACCACUAGAUGGCGGAAAAUCCCAAGGUAAGUUGCAGUAAUUUUAAGUGCCCACUAGAUGGUGGCAUAGGGUUAGGGCUAGGGCUAGGUUUAGGGUUAGGUU